rnacentral:lncRNA from 1 species
UUAAUUCUUCUUGGAGUUUCUGCAUUAGUCUACACUCUCGAUCACUAUACCUCCAGUCAUCUUCUAACUUUACCCAACAACCCAUAUGGUUUAACUUGAAAAGUAUCAAUUCUCAAGUUGAAGUUCAAGAUUACACAAACAAAGAGUCAACUGAUUGCUUUUCUUUGAGGUAGGUUUAUGUUAUCUUUUCCGUUUCAAUCUUUUUGGUUCUUGGGUUUCUUUUUGUUGAUUUUCUGUUUGAUAGAGUUGAUGUUUCUUUCAAAUUUUGUUGUUUUGUUUGGUAUUUGGUUCAUAUAAUGUUGCAUGUAUUGUUUUAACUCUGCUGAAUUUUCUGCAUUUUAUUUUGAUGGAUUCUUGCAAGUCUUUUUCUUCUAACUUCAUCCCUUCUUCCAGCCUCACUGAUGAUACUUAUUGAUGGAUAUUAUGGGUCAUCUGCACUUACUGAUUGUGAUCUAUAUUGUUGUUCUUGUGGAAUGUCUCACUGUGGGCAUCCGCUUAAAUAAGAAAUAAAAGCAAAUUAAGGUGAUCAAUAUAUUAAUAUCAAGCAUCAUCUUUAUAUUUUUAUUGUUAUGGUAACCUCGAUGACAAGUAAUUAUAAUAUUUUAUCAGGAUAAAUGAUUAGCCUUUUUAUACUGGUAAAGUUUUCAAGUAUUUUCUGAUUUUUAUUCAAAUAUAUUUUUCUGGGUGUCAGAGAAAAUGGGAAGACUUUAUGGCUGGAAAAAGGUUAUGAAAUAGCAAAGAAAGAGUGGUUCAUUAUAUUGUUCAAUUCACCAUCUAUUACAACUGCUUAUGGUUCUAAUUGCCUCGAUUACCUUCGUCAUACGUUAGAAUAGUUCGUGAAUGCCGGUAAAUUUGUAUAAAUUUAUUUGUGUCGUGAAAGUUAUUAUGGUAGGCUGAAGUAACUUGUAUAAUGUCUAUCCAUGUUUCAGUUCCAGUUGUCUAUCCAAUAGAUAUACGAGCAUGCCUUUGUAUGGUCCAUAACCUAAAAAUAUGGGAAAUGUCCCCUUUUAUGAGGAAAAAAAGAAUAUAUUGGAUGAAACUUACCGAUGACCAAUUACUCAUAUAUAAUUUUGCUUGUAGAAAACUAAUUAGUCCCUCUUAGAUAGAUUGAUUCAAACUAAGCCUAUACAUUUGUAAGUUUUUAUUUUUAAAGGUCAUAAAAUUUGGCACAAAAAAUAAGAUGUUGGCUACAGGGAAGGAAGAAAUAAAUCUACACAAAACUCUUUCACUUGUGCCACAAAAUUCUGGUAUUGUGCAAAUAUGGAUACAAUAUCUCCUCCGAUCUCUCACUGACUUGUAAUCACAUUAUCAUAUUUUCUUAUAAUAUUUUUGGUGUUCAAAUAUAUAGUUUUGCCAAGUUAGUAGUGCAUUAUAGAUCUUAUAGCUUAAUUUUUGGAGCAACAUUAAUAUAUUGGACAUUUGAAGGACUUGUAUGCUAUGUUGGAUAUGGUAUCAAGUAAUAGGAAUGAUUAUCGCGACAGAACAACCUAUUUUAAAGAAUGCACUCUUCAUUCUUAUAUUUUUUGAGAUAGUGACUGUCAAAUUAUUUCUAUCCUCCAAAUAAACGCAGCAGACACUAGACACCAGACAUGAUCAUGAACAUGUAUUUGCCUUAGCAUUGUCAACAGCUCAUAUUAUUCUUGCUCUCUUUGAGCUAGGGCGAGUGGCUACUGCUUCUUAUUUCUAGGUGGAUCAUGGAUAAUGUUCUUAAGUUUUCUUAUCAUGCGAACUUAGAAUGGAAAGCCAACAGGAAAAAUGUAAAGCAUUAUGAUAAAGAUAAAGAUCAGUUCUUAAGUUUUCGUAAGAACUGAUCUUGUGUGCUUUCUUUUUGAUUAUCACGCGGUCCCUUUUGUCAGUUACACCUUUCAUCCCUUUUAUAAGGCAGUGCAUCAAAUUUUGGCAAUUAAGGUUCUUUAACCUUGGCGGUAAACUUUAACUUUGGCCAAUCGACUGACUACAAAUAAUUAAAAUAACUUGAGCGUUAGUGAUCUUUUCCAACCUCGACAAUCAUUUUGGAACCAGCUGUCCUCCAGUUCUUUUAUGAUAGUUAGAUAAGAGGUAAUAUAUACAUUAAGAUAACUGGAAAAACUUAAGCCAUAUAUUACUACUUUCGGAUUGUGUCUUUUACUUUGAAAACUUCUUCGCUUCACCAACGUAACUUUUGUACAUGACAAAAAAGGGAGUUGAUUUUUAUUCAUGUGCCACCUUUGGCUCAUAAUUUCAGGUUCUAUUUUCCUUACUACUUGCCAACAGAUUGGUCUAUUUUUAUUUUAAAGAGUUAUAACAUCGUUUUCUUUGUGCUGUAGUUUUCAUGAUGUCCAGACUUAAAUGCAUGUGGUAACAGGUGGUAAACACAAUAGAUUGGACAAACUGUAGUGCCACUCAAAUGGUGGCAUCCCCCGAAAGGCCUCCACGUUCAGGAGAUCAUAUGGGUACACUAGCGUAUUGUUUUUUUUUUCAAAUAAAAAUCAUGAUCUUUGCCAUGUCACUACAGACUCCGAUAGAAGGGACUAGAUUAAUUUUUUGAUAGUUAUUCUAGGAUUUCCUGCAGCUUUGAUUAACUUUUUAGCUGACUCUGUACAUGCAUAUCUUUAUCGACUAUUUUCUGUCAAUUCAUUGGGUAUAUAGAAGAACUCAUUCAGUGUACCUAAAGUUUCUAGAAUAGAAAGCCUCCACAGAUUAGCAUUACUGCACAAUAUUCUGUAAUUUUCUUUAAUUGCCUUUCACUACUUACUUUUGUUCUACAUUAGAGUUGGUAAAAUAAGUUACUUCUAGAUCAUUUCUUAAACAGUAGCAACAAGGCAUUUUAUUCUAAUUUUGAAGACUUAUUUUAUCACAUAAAAAGAAAAAAGAUCAUUUGAGGAUAAUGUGAAUGAUUGAUAACAUGACAAUAGUCAAAUUUAGC